rnacentral:rRNA from 1 species
AGUUUGAUCCUGGCUCAGGACGAACGCUGGCGGCGUGCCUAAUACAUGCAAGUCGAGCGAACCACUUCGGUGGUUAGCGGCGGACGGGUGAGUAACACGUGGGCAACCUGCCUGUAAGACUGGGAUAACUUCGGGAAACCGGAGCUAAUACCGGAUAAUCCUUUUCCUCUCAUGAGGRAAAGCUGAAAGACGGUUUCGGCUGUCACUUACAGAUGGGCCCGCGGCGCAUUAGCUAGUUGGUGAGGUAACGGCUCACCAAGGCGACGAUGCGUAGCCGACCUGAGAGGGUGAUCGGCCACACUGGGACUGAGACMCGGCCCAGACUCCUACGGGAGGCAGCAGUAGGGAAUCUUCCACAAUGGACGAAAGUCUGAUGGAGCAACGCCGCGUGAGCGAUGAAGGCCUUCGGGUCGUAAA